AGUCUUGUUCAACAUUGAUUACCUAAGGUAUCUUUUCGCAUGGCAAUAUUCCGGCAUCGAUAUAGAUAUCGGAGAUUUGUGCUUCCAUCAAUGAAAAGUACCACUAUAGAUGCAAGAGUCCGGUGGUGUUGAUUCAUUUACAGUUAAUUGUUGAAGGGAACUUCUCCGCCUCUCGGCAAUCACUUGUAGAAGAUCAUAAAUCCCAAGAUCCUAAGGAGCUGUGUAGUGCUGAUCCGUUACAAAGACCAUUGAUAAAAGAUCGCCACACAGGGAUGUCGCCAAGCAAAAGCCUGAUACUUGCAAUCACGGGAUUGUUUCUUUGUCUUCAGCUAUACCCAGUGAAAGGUUUUAACUGCAAUGACAUAUGUUUACGAGGAAUUGUAUCAGAAAGUUGUAACUGCAAUGUUAAGCUUCCGUUCCGAUGGGGAAAACGUUCUACACUUCGACUUCCAUUCAGAUUUGGAAAAAGAAGUUCGAUUCCGGAUUCUUAUUCUGACGAAAGAGUGGCCCGACUCCACGAUAUAGUCAGUAUAUUGGCAGCUUCAGACUCUUUGGACUAUUAAGGUACGACAGAAAGUAAAAAAUCGGAUGUGUGUAAAUCAAAGUGCUUGGUGUGAAAGGAACUGCGCUCAUAUACCUCUAGAAAGUGGAUCCCAUUCCAUCAUACAUCUGACGUCACAAUGACUUACUAUAUAUAUUUUUUUCUUAUGAUGUAAUAAACCACUCUAGUAUCUAUGAAAAUUUCAUUAUUACGAUUGUACAUGUAUUAAUUAUAGGAUGACCUAGUUUUCAUGUCUCACCAUGUUAUACUGUAACACAGACAAAUGUUCUAGAGCUAACACAUGGAUGUAUCUACCAAUCUAAUUAUAACGGUUUGAAAACGAUUGUAUUGGAGAUAUCAACAUAUUUUGUAUGUAAUAGCAUGAGAGCAUAAAUUAACAAUUUCAUGAC